rnacentral:rRNA from 1 species
UCCAGACUCCUACGGGAGGCAGCAGUGGGGGAUAUUGCACAAUGGGGGGAACCCUGAUGCAGCGACGCCGCGUGGGUGAAGGAGCGUUUCGGCGCGUAAAGCCCUAUCGGCAGGGAAGAAGGAGGACGGUACCUGACCAAGAAGCCCCGGCUAACUACGUGCCAGCAGCCGCGGUAAUACGUAGGGGGCAAGCGUUAUCCGGAUUUACUGGGUGUAAAGGGAGCGUAGACGGCAAGGCAAGUCUGGAGUGAAAGCCCGUGGCCCAACCACGGGACUGCUUUGGAAACUGUGUUGCUGGAGUGCAGGAGGGGUAAGCGGAAUUCCUAGUGUAGCGGUGAAAUGCGUAGAUAUUAGGAGGAACACCGGUGGCGAAGGCGGCUUACUGGACUGUAACUGACGUUGAGGCUCGAAGGCGUGGGGAGCAAACAGGAUUAGAUACCCGCGUAU